CGUGGUUAAGCUGUAACCGUACCCGGCACCCCAGCGGUGGUGUGGGCCUCAGUCCAGCAUCAAGUGACGGGCCUGAACGCCCCCCCCCUCACUCCUGCCACAGCCCGUGAGCUGUGGCUGCCUAUAAAUGCACAUGGAAAACAUCUUAGACCUAAAUAAGUACUGGCUGCCUGUCUCCCGUGGUCAAACACAAGAAUACUAGAAUUUGACCAGAGCAGCUGUAGUGUAUUUAGCCGAGGCAAGACUGAUGGAGAGGACUGGCAGCCUUGGAUCUGCAGCUGCUCCAAGCUUUUCUGCCAUUUGAAGCUUGUUCUGGGAUCCAGCUGUGACCAGAGGAAUAGCGCCAGCCAUCCGGGUGCUGGCCCACCUCUGUGGCACAGGACUUCAGCCAACAGCAUGUGAGGCACUCAGUUUAUGGCUGCUUGGCAAAAUCUGGGACCUUGGAGCCAAACAGGGUCCAAACAAAGGAACCUGUGUCCCUCUGGUUUUACACUGGCUUGAGGUGCCUCUGGGUUCAAUCCCUGGUACAAAAAAAAAAAAAAAAA